GCUGUGACACCCCAGGAAGUGAUGCAGCUCACAGUUCGGCACAAACAGCUGUUUUUAGCUUGUGCUAACUGGACUUUGUUUACAAAAAAAAGAAAACAAACAAAAAUUCAAAAAAGUUGUUUUAUUUAAGAUUUGCACAAAGCAGUGAUAAAUAUUCUUGGUGCGGAGUAACAACAGAGACUUGGAAAUCUGCAUGGAGAUGAAAAAUCUGAGCCUAUUUUACAUCUACUGUUUCUGAAGCAGACCCCUUCAACCUUGCAACAGCAGACACCCUGGCAAACACAGAACACAGUAAACAGAUUACUAUCUUAAAGGACCAAUCUUAUCCUAAGAAACAGUGUUCAAAGAACAAGUAAAAGAGUAAAAAAAAGAAAAAGUAAGGCUGCCUGAUAGACAUUUUUGUCAUAAGAAAUUCUUUAAAAUUAUAAACUGAGUAUUUCUUUUGGUUAUGUUUUUAAGUAUGUACUGUAACUUACAACAACCAAAACAGUUCUUGAACAAAAAGAAAAUAUGACAAAGGUUUAUAUUGAUAAUUUGUAUAUUGUAAAUCAGUCACACUGUUCAGUAGAAUAUACAAAAACCUUUCAGUGCUAACACACACCUCUUAUAAUGUCAAGAGUAAACCCUGUAAAUUAAGAAUUUGUUUUGUUUUUAUUAACAAUAUUUGUGUUUAAUUUGUGAAAAUGUCCAAUGCCCUUA